AAAAAGAGGGACAAAAUCUGAAAGACAGUUUCUACCAUUGUAGUCUGGCAUCUUCUUUUCAUUGGUGUAAAACAGAUACCAACAGCAGAGAAGAAAGCUACCAGCCAGUGGCACAUUCCCCUUGGAAAGAACCUUUUUUUUUUCUUUCUUUUUCUUUUUUUUUUCAGGUGGUUUCUCUGGUUCUUAUGAAUUUAAGAACUCUAGCUAAACAGAAGGUCUGAGAGACAGGAAAACACCUAUUUUCAAAGCUGCAAGAGCUGGAUUAUCACUUUCUAACAUUUUUGCAAUCACAAAAUUAUCUUUUAAAGAAGUUUACUAACUUUCAUGGGAUGAUCACAGAUUAGCUGCAAGCAAUUACUCAUGAAAGGGCUUUUAAACAAACCAUAGAUUACCAAUAAAUUGGCUGAAAUGACUUCAUACUAAAUGUAAAACAGAUUACCUUUCUAUCUAUAAUUCAGUGUUCAAAAGAAAAUAUUAGCAAGUUAUUCAUAAUAUGUAAUUCAUUUUUAUGUGAGCAUCAGUAAUUCUGGCCUACUGGUGGUCCAGAUAAACCCACAUUUAUGAUGCUGUAACUUCAAGUGUCUUUUCAUGGUGUUCUUUUUACAAAAAAAAAAAAAUUAGAAGUAGGGAAGGUCAUAGCUUCUCAUUUUAAAUGUGCUCAUUCCUGGGGCUAAGCAUAUGAGAAUUAUAAUCCAACAAACAUCUGUUUCUAAACUACUGAUGCUUUAGCAUGAACCAGAAAUAUAAAUUUUAAUCUGAUGACUGAAAGCAUCCCUUUAACUGUUUUUUGUUUUUUUUUUUUUUUUUUUUUUUUUUUUUGAGUAGUCCAGUGGCAUGACAUCUGGAGGAGCUAUGCUUUAGAUUAUUUAUAGAUGUGGACAGUAAGAGCCACAUUUAUGUUGUCAGUGCUGUUUGCCCUCCUUUAAUUUCUCAAAUGACCUAAUUAUAUGUGUUCUCAAUAUGUCUUGGGAGGAAAAUAAUUGCUGAUACUCUCAAAGGCAAAAUGCUGAAUACGUUUCUGUGCUUCUCACAUUCCAUGGCCUGACUGUGGGCAUCAUUAAAGUUACACUUUACCACUCUUCUGGAACGUGGCAUUGAACAUGUCCUAAUGUCUCACAGUGAGAAGUGAAACACUUCCUCUUAAAAAGAAAAAUAUCUGAUGUUUUACAGGAUGCCUGACACUAAUGCUUACUAUUCUGCUAUCUCUGAUGUCUUCACUUAUGGAUAUAUUCAUUAACAAGUACUUAUUAACUAUUUAACAUUUCUUCUACUGAGUGUUAUUAAUUACAGAUGCUGUAUUAGUUUCCUAAGUCUGCUGUAACAAAUUACCACGAACUUGGUGACUUAAAACAACAGAAAUUUAUUCUCUCACGGUUCUGGAGACCAGAAGUUCAAAAUACAGCUGGGACCAAAGGCAUCUCUAGGGAAGGAUACAGUCCUUGCUGCUUCCAGGGUUCUGCACAAUCCAUGACAGCAAGAAGACAAAGGCUUUGUUACAACAGAACAGAGCGGAGACAUCAGUGGCCGUCAGCUUCUUUAAAGCCAGUAAAUAAAGGUCUGGCUCUGUUACCCAGGCUGGAAUGCAGUGGCAUGAUCUUGGUUCACUGCAACCUCCGCCUCCCAGACUCAAGCCAUCCUCACACCUCCGCCUCCUGAGUAGCUGGGACUACAGGCACGCACCACCAUGCCAGGCUAGUUUUUGAAAAUUUUUUGUAGAGACAGGACUUCACGCUGUUGCCCAGGCUGGUCUCAAACCCGUAAGCUCAGGUGAUCUGCUUGCCUCGGCCUCCCAAAGUGCCGGGAUUACAGUCAAAAGCCACCGCACCUGGCUCUGAGGGGCCAUUUUAAUAAAAAUGUUCAAGCUAGUCAUACAAACAGGUAGUAAUGGAAGUGACACAAUGACUGCGCCUAUAUGACGAUGGACUGAAAACAGACUUACUACUGGGAGAAUUUUACUUAAUUUUUUUCCACUCAAUUGUUCACGAACAUUCAAGCAUUUAUGGGGCAACUGUCAGGCAUUGUAUUUUCAUGAGUAGUGUAAGUAAUCUUGUUCAAAGCAACACAUUAUUAAUAUAUGCAUAUGUUUAUAAUGAAAUCUACUUACAGGACUCUAGUACUGGUACUAGUUUCUUUUCCAGUUUUAAGUGAAAUUAGUGUGCCUCAAAGUAUUGCAAAUCAAAGUAAAUUCUAGCCAAUGUUUGCUUCACAUGAACGUUCACAUGAAUGAUGUAAUCCCAAAAAAGGACCAUGUAGAGAGGAGGAGUGAUAAAGAAUUUAGGCACAGGGAGUACAGCCUUAAAGAUUAAGUUUCAGAGUAAAUGUGACUUUCAACUGGAUGAGAAUGUUGGGAGUUGCAGGUCAGCAGUUGCAGGAAGGUUAAAGACAUGUGUUGCACACACAGAAACUUGUAUUGAAAUUUGUUUACAAAAAAGGAAGAAUUUUUGUAAAAUGAAAGUAAGAUUUCCCAAAGACAAAUUUUAACUUUAAAAAGACAGAACUUCAAAGAAAUUAAAUAGCCUAAAGCCUUCUGUAAACAGAAAUUACACACGCUCACAUACACACGAAAGUGAACAGUGUCUCUGGAGCCCCACAGCCAAUGGGAUAGUCUGAAUUAGCACCAUACAUAGAACCAGAGGAAGUUUUCAUAGAGCAUCCUGGGCACAAAGUUCAUAUUCUAUACUUAUAAGGUGAUCUGCUCCAUGAGGAAGCUGCCGUGUAGAGCUGGAGUUGAGAGUCGUGGGUUUAUCCUACCAUUUAGAACCACUGACUGACUUUUAAAAUAUGAACACAUUUAUUGAGAACCACCACAACAAAACCCAUUCCUGAUUAAAGGAUUUCUUUUUCUUAUCACUGGCUCUAGCCAGCGAUUGUUCUUCAACCAAGAGCCCACCAUCAUGCUGGGAGGAGUGCUCCUAAGCAAAGAUUUUGGACACAGGGAAGACCAACAGAUGUGUACUCCAGACAGGCAGAGCCUGACCAGCAAAAAAGCUGGGAAGAUGCUGCUGCCAGGCGGAGACUGCUCUCACCUGGUUCAUCUUGUCUCCCAGGUGUUCGUUUCCUCGUUGUUCCCCUUUCCUUCCCCUUCUCUCAUUGCCAACCUUCUCCCCUUUGUCACUGUUGUUGGAGACAUUAAAAACGCUCUCCAUCCAAAUGCCAGGUCACUUGUGUAAAAUCUCAUACUAUUUAAGCAUUAAACUCUAAGAAACAUGAAAACU